rnacentral:lncRNA from 1 species
GUAUUUGAGCUACACCUUGGGUGCCCACUUCAUCAGGUAGGCCUCGUCAGAAUUCUUUACUAGUGACUUUGUUUAGGAUGACACAGGCUGGAGUCUCUGAACCUUAAGCUGAAAGACAGUGGUUUUCUGAUACAUGCUUAUAAAAAGCAAAAGCUUGUACAGUAUGUAGUAGUGCUUCAGCUUGGUUGCCUUGUGUUCUUUUUUAUGCCUUUCUGAGCUGGAGACAUCUCGUAAGGUGUGUUGUAUGAUGAUUUUCAUGGCUAGAGUGCUGACAUUGAUGACAGCAAUUCACAUAAAUCUGAUGGCAUCAGCAGUCUGAAUUAUGUAAAUUAUUUGUGUCCGCACAUUAAUUGCCAGUUCUGGUGGUUUCCUUUCAGAUGGUCUAGUACAGAGCCCAGCAGUGCAGGUAGUUCAUGAUCUUACUUUUGAUACAAUUGCUUUCACUGUGCUUGAAAUUUGUGUAAGGCCACUGCAAUUUGUUUCUUCAGUGAGUUUUGUGAAGCCAGUUGCAACUGCACACAGCAAUCCCAGUCUGGUUUGACCUUCAUAUAUAAGGUGCUCUUGUGAGACUGGUAUAAAUUGCACAUUAUGGGACUUCAUCCACUUUGCAUAGUUUCACGAAUGCGGAUAAUGCAUGUUCGUGCUUGUUUUCAUGUGAUGAGAAAUUCUGACACCUCUUCUGAAUUCUUCUUGACAGAAUUCAUUAUUCUGAAUUUUUUUUUUUGCAACCUGCUGCAACUAUUGUGCAGAGCAGUUUGUAAAUGUUAGCGAUGUCUUUUUUUUUUUUUUCCAGGUAUCGGUGGCAGCAAAAGCAGGUGAGUCCAGGGAGGUGCAUCGAUUUUGCGGUCAAUAAAAGAAAAAGUUUC